rnacentral:rRNA from 1 species
UACGGAAGGCAGCAGUGGGGGAUAUUGCACAAUGGGCGAAAGCCUGAUGCAGCUAUGCCGCGUGUAUGAAGAAGGCCUUAGGGUUGUAAAGUACUUUCAUCGGGGAGGAAAAACAAAACUAAUAAUUUUAUUUCUUGACGUUACCCGAAAAAGAAGCACCGGCUAACUCCGUGCCAGCAGCCGCGGUAAUACGGAGGGUGCUAGCGUUAAUCAGAAUUACUGGGCGUAAAGAGCACGUAGGUGGUUUUUUUAAAGUCAGAUGUGAAAUCCCUGGGCUUAACCUAGGAACUGCAUUUUGAAACUGAAAUACUAGAGUAUCGUAGAGGGAGGUAGAAUUCUAGGUGUAGCGGUGAAAUGCGUAGAUAUCUGGAGGAAUACCUGUGGCGAAAGCGGCCUCCUAAACGAAUACUGACACUGAGGUGCGAAAGCGUGGGGAGCAAACAGGGAUUAGAUACC